rnacentral:rRNA from 1 species
AUUGAACGCUGGCGGCAUGCCUUACACAUGCAAGUCGAACGGUAACAGGUCUUCGGAUGCUGACGAGUGGCGAACGGGUGAGUAAUACAUCGGAACGUGCCCGAGAGUGGGGGAUAACGAGGCGAAAGCUUUGCGAAUACCGCAUACGAUCUCAGGAUGAAAGCAGGGGACCGCAAGGCCUUGCGCUCACGGAGCGGCCGAUGGACGGUUAGGUACUUGGUGGGAUAAAAGCGUACCAAGCCGACGAUCUGUAGCUGGUCUGAGAGGACGACCAGCCACACUGGGACUGAAACACGGCCCAGACUCCUACGGGAGACAGCAGUGGGGAAUUUUGGACAAUGGGCGCAAGCCUGAUCCAGCCAUGCCGCGUGCAGGAUGAAGGCCUUCGGGUUGUAAACUGCUUUUGUACGGAACGAAAAGACUCCUUCUAAUAAAGGGGGUCCAUGACGGUACCGUAAGAAUAAACACCGGCUAACUACGUGCCAGCAGCCGCCGUAACAC